UUUCAUCAUGAAUGUCCAAGAAUUGGCGAAGAACCGAGAACCUGCCUGUGAAGAUCAUGUUAUUGAACAAUCAGCAUUUGGGUAUGGUUGUUCAAUGGGAGGAUAGGUUCUAUCAUUCCAAUAGGGCACAUACAUACUUAGGGAACCCAUCAAAAGAAGAAGAAAUUUUUCCAAACAUGUUGAAGUUUGCAGAGGCAUGCGAUAUUCCAGCUGCAAGAGUGACAAAGAGAAGUGAGCUUAGGGAGACUAUCAAGAAAAUGUUGGAGACUCCAGGACCUUACUUGCUUGACGUGAUUGUGCCCCAUCAAGAACAUGUCCUGCCAAUGAUCCC
rnacentral:misc_RNA from 1 species